CCUGCCCCUAAAAGCAUUGCAGGUGUGGCUGUUGUGUCACAUGUACGUCACUAGGUGGCAGAGAGGAGCGAGGCUGUGUCUACCCUUAGUGUUCUGACCUAUGCCUGAAGAAAAGCAAGCUUGAGAUG